rnacentral:rRNA from 1 species
CGGUCGCUUCGAUGUUGUCCGAUUUCGGUCGGGCAACACGUGCGCCGCUCGUCGACGUCCGCGGACGGCGUGCACUUCUCCCUCAGUAAUACAUCGCGACCCGUUCGAUGUCGGUCUAAGCUUCGUCCGGGAGCCCGUGCGCACCUCUCGCGGGGUCGCGUACGGACCGUUCACACAGACAAUAGCCGACCGGCCGUCGUACGGUAUAAUAAAUUUGUUAUAUGUGACGAAUCGCGCACGCGUUUCAUACGCGUCCGGCCCGACGCAAGACAACGUCGUAUCACGAGUCCUGCCCGUGCGCGGACUCGAGUGCGGCGCGUCUGUUGUCGCCGCCGUGCAGUCUCGGACAUUGUGCGCGUCUCCGUCUGCGAUGAUUCAGUUUCGGGCACUCGCAGGA